UACGGGGGGGGCAAGCGUUGUUCGGAAUUACUGGGCGGAAAGGGCUCGUAGGUGGCCAACUAAGUCAAUCGUGAAAUCCCUCGGCUUAACCGGGGAACUGCGCUUGAUACUGGAUGGCUUGAGUUUGGGAGAGGGAUGCGGAAUUCCAGGUGUAGCGGUGAAAUGCGUAGAUAUCUGGAGGAACACCGGUGGCGAAGGCGGCAUCCUGGACCGGCAUUGACGCUGAGGAGCGAAAGCCAGGGGAGCAAACGGG
rnacentral:rRNA from 1 species